UACGUAGGGGGCAAGCGUUGUCCGGAAUCAUUUGGCGUAAAGAGCGUGUAGGCGGCCUGGUAAGUCCGCUGUGAAAGUCCAGGGCUCAACCCUGGAAUGCCGGUGGAAACUGUCAGGCUCGAGUCCGGAAGAGGCGAGUGGAAUUCCUGGUGUAGCGGUGGAAUGCGCAGAUAUCAGGAAGAACACCAACGGCGAAGGCAGCUCGAUGGGACGGUACUGACGCUGAGACGCGAAAGCGUGGGGAGCGAACAGG
rnacentral:rRNA from 1 species